rnacentral:lncRNA from 1 species
GUACUAGGAACUGAACUCACAUCUUCUUCAGGAGCAAUUCAUGCUCUUAAACAACGAGGCAUUGCUCCAAACAUGUUUUUGUAUUACUUUUAUUUGAAAGAAUAUUUGAGUAAUUUACAUAGUUAAAAUGUUUAGAGAUUUACAAUCCUUUGUAUUGUCUUGAUUUUAAUAAAAAAAAAAACCCUUGCACAUUAUUUUAAUGCCAGCUGUUUUACUUCUCUUCUGUUAAGGAUGAAGUAGUAGAAAUGUAACGUUUAGCAUGCAUUUGUCAAUGUAAGAUAUAGAAAUUACUUCUUGUAUGACUGUUUGAGUAACUGUGUCCUCCUCACUCCUCAGCAUUUGGUAUGGCCACUCUUCCUCACUUAGCCAUUUUACUAGAUGUGUAGAGGAAUUUUCUUUAAGUUUAAUUGACGUUUAAAUAUCAUAGACAAAAUAUUCUUCAACAUGAAUUUUUUAUUAUCUAUUAAGUAGUGGGGUUCUUUUAAUAUUCUGUAUGCAUUCCUUAAUAGAGAACAGCAAGACUUAUAUUCUGUGCACCUUUUCUCACACAUGAGUUUUUGGGUUUACAAGGUUUUCUGGUACUGUGGGGAGCAGUCGGUUAUGGCCAUGUUGCCUAUGCUGGCCUUCAUGUUGUGACUCUCCACUGCAGUUUCCUGAGCACUGAGAAACAAAGCACGUACCACCUUCUCAACACUUUUCUGAAAACAGUUUAAAAAUGAGCAGAGUUUAAAAAGUUGACCCUGUGCCUGGAGAGAUGCCUUGGAUGUUAAAGGCUAAGCUCACAACCUCAAAAAAUGAUUUGUGCUAAAUGUGUUGUUAAACAUUGAAAAGAUUCUUGUCUUAUAGUGUGCAUGUAUGCGUCUGUUUGUAUAUGUGCAUGAGCAGGGUGUAUGUCAUGUGAAGGCCUGAUGUAGAGGCUGGGUGUCUACUACUAUCAUUUUAUAUAAAGUGUUAUAAUUUUUGAAAAGACAUCUUCCACUGAACCUGGCUUUCAUUGACUCUCUAUACUUGCUAGACACUUAGUUCCAGAAGUCCACUUGUCUCUGCCUCUCAGCAUCGGGUCUAGAGUGGCAAGCAACCAUUCCCGAUUAUUUUAUACUCAGAUCCUCAUUGUUUGCAUGGUAGGGACUUUUCAACUGCACCGCCAUUCUAGACUGUUGCCUGUUUUAUUCUAGAAAACUGCAAGUUUUAACUUUUAUGCUUAGCCCUAUAAUAUAUUAAUUGAGUGCUAUGAAUGGUGCAUUAAAUAAAGGUCAAAGUUGUCUUUUUCUGUUAUUCUAUCUUUUACAGUGUCAGAAACCAGACCUUGAAAAAGGCCACGAUGGAGUUGAAGAAGAUCUCUCUGGAGGAAGACAGCAGGACGUGUGCUAUGGAGAGGAAACUGGGAAAGAUGGAGAUGAGAAUUUGCCUAUAGGGGAAGAAGUAGAAGCAAUACCAAAGGGGAUGGUUUGAGGAGGGGUUGAAAGGCCAUAGAGAAAUGUAUUUUAUGUUAACAUAAAAAUUGCAUGCACUAUAUGUAAAGGUAUGUACCUACAUAUAUAAUUAGCUAAAUGAAGAUAUGCCACUUGAGGCAAUAGCCGUAGACCAUAUGGCAAAAUCUCCAGGACUUCCUUCAACUUGUUGGUUAAGGGAACCUAAGAGGCUCUGAAAAUAAUAUAGGUGAUUGCCAAAGCACUUGGUUAAAUCCCAGAACUUUUGGGUAAAGUCCUAUUGUAGAAAACACCAUGUAGUUCAGACACAGGAUUGGGUGGAGCCAAGCUAAGCUUGAACUGACCAGGAAUCCCCUCCUUGAGGUCUGCUCCUAUCGUGCAGGAAGAGUCUGUGAAAGCUGCGGGGAAGAUAAACAACUAAAAUCCUACCUAGCUGUGAAGUCUAAGAACCAAGCCAUGGCCAGCUCAGCAGAUAUUGCCAAGGCAAGCUAACAGUCAACUGUGACUCCAUUUUCUGGCAUUCAUAAGCUCUACACUCAGAAGCACAUAUCCCCUAAUAUACUGACAUAUACAAAUACAUAAAUUAAAACUAGUAAAAUAAUACCUGGAAAAGAAUUUAUGCCAUCAGUAUUAUAUCCCCUUUAUUAUGUCCUUGAGUGUGAGAUUAUUGGUUUCCAUAUAAGUUUUUCAUAACUCUUUGAUUACGCCUUCUUCCACCCCCUCAUUUUGCCAUAUGCUAAUACCUUCCAUGUUUGAAUCUUAGUUCUUCAAAUAUCCCCCAUAUCUAAUCCUAUUUUACCUCUGUUUCUGCACCUCCACUUUCAUAGUGAGUCGGUCUUCAAUUACAAGGAUUCCACAUAUACUACAAAGUUAAAUAUCUGAAGCAAAUUACUCAAGCUAGAAUCCACCUACAAGAGAGAACAUGCUGCAUUUAUCUUUCUGAGCCAUUGUGAUGUCAUCUAGCAUGAUACAGGCCAUCCAUUUCUAUGCAAAUUUUAUAAUAUCAUCUUUAGGAACCUGCUACAUUUGUCUUUCUGAGCCAGGAUGACCUCACUAAGUAUGAUCUUUCCAGGUCACCCAUUUCUCUGCAGAAUGUGUGAUAUUGUUUUUAUUUGUAGCUAAGUAAUAGUCCACUUUGUAUAUGUAAUAAAUGUCCAUUAUCCAUUUAUCAGCUGAGGGACAUCUGGGUUGUUUCCAUUUCAUAGCUACUGUGAAUACAGAAGCCAGUGCCCAGCUCAGGUCAUCUAUAACAGUGUUUCCCAAUCUAAGGCUCAGAGAAUCACAGAAGAGUGGGUGGGAAGAAGGGGAGAGACAGGGAAAGGAGAGGAGAACAGUAAAAUCCUGUCUCCUGCAUGUGCAUGGCAGACACACAAGUCAUGUGACCAUAGCUACAACUGACUGCACAGAAACAGAUAAGAUAAAGCCCAUUUAAAUUCUAGCAUGGAUAGGGAAGGAAUCCUGAGACCCCCAUCCCUAGAUCAAGAGCCAUUGGCAGUUGGUGGUGGACAGAGAGUCACUUUCUUUGGGCUAGGUAGUACAUGGCUCCGGUCUCAGUGCAUAACCCCACAUCUCUUUGCACAUAGGAAGCACUAAUUGGAUUCAGUGGGCUAUUAACAACAACAACAAAAUGAAAUAAGAGGGUUAUGGAAAGUUAAUGCAGGAGAAGAGAACUGGAUACAUUAUACUUACAUGAAAAAUUCAAGGAAUAAAUAAACUAUUAUAAAAAAUAAACUUGGAGGUAUUAGUUAAAGAUACUUAGGGAUGACUAAGCACUGUGUCAAUAUUGUACUAGAUUUAGCUCUGAUUUAGUUUCUUAUACAAAAAUUUAAAAUACAAAGUGAGUUCCAGGACAGUCAGGGCUAUACAGAGAAAACCUGUCUCAAAAAAAAAAUCCCUUUAUACUUCUGUUCUGUAUAUACUAGAUCGGUUUCAAGCAUUAAAAUAAAGAGAUUUACUACC